rnacentral:rRNA from 1 species
AUUGAACGCUGGCGGCAGGCUUAACACAUGCAAGUCGAGCGGGGUGAUGGUGCUUGCACUAUCACUUAGCGGCGGACGGGUGAGUAAUGCUUAGGAAUCUGCCUAUUAGUGGGGGACAACAUCUCGAAAGGGAUGCUAAUACCGCAUACGUCCUACGGGAGAAAGCAGGGGAUCACUUGUGACCUUGCGCUAAUAGAUGAGCCUAAGUCGGAUUGAGCUAGUUGGUGGGGUAAAGGCCUACCAAGGCGACGAUCUGUAGCGGGUCUGAGAGGAUGAUCCGGCACACUCGGACUGAGACAUGGCCCAGACUCCUACGGGAGGCAGCAGUGGGGAAUAUUGGACAAUGGGGGGAACCCUGAUCCAGCCAUGCCGCGUGUGUGAAGAAGGCCUUAUGGUUGUAAAGCACUUUAAGCGAGGAGGAGGCCCUUUUGGUUAAUACCCAAGAUGAGUGGACGUUACUCGCAGAAUAAGCACCGGCUAACUCUGUGCCAGCCGCCGCCGUAA